CAUGUUGGAGCCAUGAUUGAAUGUAUGCAGUACACUCUAUACUAAAGUUGGUGAUAGGAAUAUUAUGCAGCCAUUAAAACCAAGCUAAAAUGAUAUGAUUGAUCAUUGGGACUGUGGCCAUGCUGGGGUACCACCUCGAAGAGUAUUUAGUCGUACAAAUGGAACCCAGGAUUUAUUUUUCUUUUUAAAGACUGAUCUGAUAGAUCUUCAUUUACCCAAACAUUGGUGUUUCGAAGUCUCUCUAGGGCACUGAAUCGUGUAUGUUGUCACCACACAUCGGUUGAAAGAAGUUGUUUUCCGAAGGCGAAACACACCAGCGAUUAGCUUAGUCACGUUCAAAUCUGCUCAAAGAUGUUAAGAAUGAAUAUACUCCUUAUUCUUUUGAUUUAUGCCGUUAUACUUCAUCAUCAUAAUUUAUUAUCAACUUUGCAGACAUCGAUACGCAUCAGCAAAUAAUUUGUUUAAAUCACAUAAACAAGAGCGACCAUUCUUGUUUAGAUUCAGUGAUCUGGUAGGGGUGGAGGUGAAAUAAUAACCUUUGAAGAGAUACAAAAUCACAUCGAAAUACCGGUGUUUCAAAGUCCUUCUACGUCUCUGUAACGUGUAUGCUGUCAACACAUAGUUUGAAGGAUGAAGUGUUUUUUGUCUGAAGGCGAAAUAAGACAGCUAUUAGGAUAUUCACGUUCAA